rnacentral:rRNA from 1 species
AUUGAACGCUAGCGGCAGGCCUAACACAUGCAAGUCGAACGAGUGGCGGACGGGUGAGUAAUGUAUGGGAACGUGCCUAGUAGCGGGGGAUAACUACUGGAAACGGUAGCUAAUACCGCAUACCAUCAGAUGUGCCGAUAUGGGAUUAGCUUGUUGGUGGGGUAACGGCUCACCAAGGCAACGAUCCCUAGCUGGUCUGAGAGGAUGACCAGCCACACUGGAACUGAGACACGGCCCAGACUCCUACGGGAGGCAGCAGUGGGGAAUAUUGCACAAUGGGCGCAAGCCUGAUGCAGCCAUGCCGCGUGUAUGAAGAAGGCCUUAGGGUUGUAAAGUACUUUCAGCGGGGAGGCGUUACCCGCAGAAGAAGCACCGGCUAACUCCGUGCCAGCAGCCGCGGUAAUUC